rnacentral:rRNA from 1 species
GACGAACGCUGGCGGCGUGCUUAACACAUGCAAGUCGAACGAAGUGGCGAACGGGUGAGUAACGCGUAAUCCACCAGCCCUUCAGAGGGGGACAACAGUUGGAAACGACUGAUAAUACAGCAUACUGAAGGAGGAGAUUGCGUGUGAUUAGCUAGUUGGAGGGGUAACGGCCCACCAAGGCGAUGAUCAGUAGCGUGGCUGGGAGGAUGGACGGCCAAAUUGGGACUUAGACACGGCCCAGACUCCUACGGGAGGCAGCAGUGGGGAAUCUUCCGCAAUGGACGAAAGUCUGACGGAGCAACGCCGCGUGAGUGAUGACGGCCUUCGGGUUGUAAAGCUCUGUUAAUCGGGACGCGGUACCGGAAUAGAAAGCCACGGCUAACUACGUGCCAGCAGCCGCGGUAAUAC